ACGAGUUAGGGUCUUUCCAGGCCCGACCUCCCAACCCUUUUGUUUACCGAACCUCUGUUGCUUCGGCGGACCCGUCUCGCGGCCGCCGGGGGACCGCCGACAGGCGUCCCCUGGCCAGUGUCCGUCGAUAGCCAAACAUUCAAACCCUGAAUCAAUUGUGUCUUAUGCCUAAGUCUAUGAUUAAAUUCAAAAAGAAA
rnacentral:misc_RNA from 1 species